GACGAACGCUGGCGGCGUGCCUAAUACAUGCAAGUCGAGCGGACAGAUGGGAGCUUGCUCCCUGAAGUCAGCGGCGGACGGGUGAGUAACACGUGGGCAACCUGCCUGUAAGACUGGGAUAACUUCGGGAAACCGGAGCUAAUACCGGAUACGUUCUUUUCUCGCAUGAGAGAAGAUGGAAAGAUGGUUUCGGCUAUCACUUACAGAUGGGCCCGCGGCGCAUUAGCUAGUUGGUGAGGUAAUGGCUCACCAAGGCAACGAUGCGUAGCCGACCUGAGAGGGCGAUCGGCCACACGGGGAGUGGAACACGUCCCAGACUCCUACGGGAGGCAGCAGUAGGGAAUCUUCCGCAAUGGACGAAGGUCUGACGGAGCAACGCCGCGUGAACGAUGAAGGCCUUCGGGUCGUAAAGUUCUGUUGUUAGGGAAGAACAAGUACCAGAGUAACUGCUGGUACCUUGACGUUACCUAGGAGACGAAGCAUCGGCUAACUCCGUGCCAGCAGCCGCCGUAACAC
rnacentral:rRNA from 1 species